AGUAAUGUCUGGGAAACUGCCUGAUGGAGGGGGAGUAACUACUGGAAACGGUAGCUAAUACCGCAUAACGUCGCAAGACCAAAGAGGGGGACCUUCGUGCCUCUUGCCAUCAGAUGUGCCCAGAUGGGAUUAGCUAGUAGGUGGGGUAACGGCUCACCUAGGUGACGAUCCCUAGCUGGUCUGAGAGGAUGACCAGCCACACUGGAACUGAGACACGGUCCAGACUCCUACGGGAGGCAGCAUG
rnacentral:rRNA from 1 species